UGACCGAGAAGAUGUCCGCAGAUCAA
rnacentral:piRNA from 1 species